rnacentral:rRNA from 1 species
GUGUCAGCCGCCGCGGUAAAACGUAGGGGGCGAGCGUUAUCCGGAAUCACUGGGCGUAAAGGGCGUCUAGGCGGCACGCCAAGUCUUGCGUGAAAGCUCCUGGCUCAACUAGGAGAGUGCGUGGGAAACUGGCGAGCUAGAGACGUGGAGGGGUGCACGGAAUUCCCGGUGGAGUGGUGGAAUGCGUUGAGAUCGGGAGGAACACCAGAAGCGAAGGCGGUGCACUGGCCACGGACUGACGCUGAAGCGCGACAGCGUGGGGAGCGAACGGGAUUAGAUACCCCUGUAGUCC